rnacentral:rRNA from 1 species
GUGGAGAGUUUGAUCCUGGCUCAGGAUGAACGCUGGCGGCGUGCCUAAUACAUGCAAGUCGAGCGAUCAGACGAGGAGCUUGCUCCUUUGACGUUAGCGGCGGACGGGUGAGUAACACGUGGGUAACCUACCUAUAAGACUGGAAUAACUCCGGGAAACCGGAGCUAAUGCCGGAUAAUAUUUAGAACCGCAUGGUUCUAAAGUGAAAGAUGGUUUUGCUAUCACUUAUAGAUGGACCCGCGCCGUAUUAGCUAGUUGGUGGGGUAAUGGCUUACCAAGGCAACGAUACGUAGCCGACCUGAGAGGGUGAUCGGCCACACUGGAACUGAGACACGGUCCAGACUCCUACGGGAGGCAGCAGUAGGGAAUCUUCCGCAAUGGGCGAAAGCCUGACGGAGCAACGCCGCGUGAGUGAUGAAGGUCUUCGGAUCGUAAAACUCUGUUAUUAGGGAAGAACAAAUGUGUAAGUAACUGUGCACGUCUUGACGGUACCUAAUCAGAAAGCCACGGCUAACUACGUGCCAGCAGCCGCGGUAAUACGUAGGUGGCAAGCGUUAUCCGGAAUUAUUGGGCGUAAAGCGCGCGUAGGCGGUUUCUUAAGUCUGAUGUGAAAGCCCACGGCUCAACCGUGGAGGGUCAUUGGAAACUGGGAAACUUGAGUGCAGAAGAGGAAAGUGGAAUUCCAUGUGUAGCGGUGAAAUGCGCAGAGAUAUGGAGGAACACCAGUGGCGAAGGCGACUUUCUGGUCUGUAACUGACGCUGAUGUGCGAAAGCGUGGGGAUCAAACAGGAUUAGAUACCCUGGUAGUCCACACCGUAAACGUUGGGCGCUAGGUGUGGGACCUAUUCCAUGGGUUCCGUGCCGUAGCUAACGCAUUAAGCGCCCCGCCUGGGGAGUACGGCCGCAAGGCUAAAACUCAAAGGAAUUGACGGGGGCCCGCACAAGCGGCGGAGCAUGCGGAUUAAUUCGAUGCAACGCGAAGAACCUUACCUGGGUUUGACAUACACCGGAAGCCUCUAGAGAUAGAGGUCUCUUUGAUACUGGUGUACAGGUGGUGCAUGGCUGUCGUCAGCUCGUGUCGUGAG